CACGUAGGGUGCGAGCGUUGUCCGGAAUUAUUGGGCGUAAAGAGCUCGUAGGCGGUGUGUCGCGUCGGCCGUGAAAACCUGCAGCUUAACUGUGGGCUUGCGGUCGAUACGGGCAUCACUGGAGUUCGGCAGGGGAGACUGGAAUUCCUGGUGUAGCGGUGAAAUGCGCAGAUAUCAGGAGGAACACCGGUGGCGAAGGCGGGUCUCUGGGCCGAUACUGACGCUGAGGAGCGAAAGCGUGGGGAGCGGACAGG
rnacentral:rRNA from 1 species